GGCCCGUUGGUCAAGUGGUUAAGACACCGCCCUUUCYCGGCGGUAACACGGGUUCGAAUCCCGUACGGGUCACCA
rnacentral:tRNA from 1 species